GCAACGCGUGGCGCAGUGGCUAAGCGGCUCGCCUUUGGAGCAAAAGGUCCGGGGUUCGAUUCUCCGUGGGGGUGUA